rnacentral:rRNA from 1 species
CACCUCUUGACUAUACAUAAGAGGCCCAGCCUGCCCAGUGACUUCAUUCAACGGCCGCGGUAUCCUAACCGUGCAAAGGUAGCGUAAUCACUUGUUUCCUAAAUAGAGACUAGUAUGAAAGGCAUCACGAGGAUUAAACUGUCUCCUUUCCCUAAUCAGUGAACCUAAUCUCCCCGUGAAGAAGCGGGGAUAACCCUAUAAGACGAGAAGACCCUAUGGAGCUUAAAACAAUAUCACACGUGCCACUCCGUUUAUACACCAAGGUCAUUACCCCCUCCCACGCACGCUGAUCAUAUGUUUUUGGUUGGGGUGACCGCGGAGAACAAAUUACCCUCCACGAUGAAAAGGGGUAUUUCCCCUAAAUAACAAGCUACAACUUUAUCCAUCAAUAAAUUGACAUUCAUUGAUCCAAUAUUUUGACCAACGAACCAAGUUACCCUAGGGAUAACAGCGCAAUCCACUUUAAGAGCCCCUAUCGACAAGUGGGCUUACGACCUCGAUGUUGGAUCAGGGUAUCCUAGUGGUGCAGCCGCUACUAAAGGUUCGUUUGUUCAACGAUUAAAACCCU